ACAGAGUCUGUUGUCUCCGUUAUUCCGCGAGGCGAUGGGCGCAAAACGUCGGCCGAGGCCCAACAUCGUUAACGUAUCGCAACCGUCUGACGCGUGAUGCCAGAAAGAGGUGCACCAACUUCAGCGAAUUCAGUUGUGCCAAGAGCCAAGAAAGCACUUUGAAUUUAUGUGGGUGCGGCAUCGUGCGUGAAAUAGCAAGCAGUCGCAGUUAGGUUAUACCACACUGCCCCAGAUGAUGAAGGCACAGACAAUGGAGAGUUUAGUGAAGAGGAAGAUUUUCUUCAAGAAGAUAAUGCUGUGUGUACAGAGGGCAGUGAAGUAGAACCUGACGUUGAAGCAGCAAAUGAGGUAUCGGAUGAAGAAUACUUGGGUGACCGUGGAAGAAAGCAGAAGACUCUCUACUCAUUGUGUGUGUAAAAUAUUCUUGGAAUCAUAAUAAUUUGAAACUAGUACAUAACAUAAAUUAUGACUUAUUUUCCCAUAACAUCUUGAGCAGUAAAAUUGUCGUUAUACGGUACA